rnacentral:lncRNA from 1 species
CUCUCUAUGGCUCCAAAUGUUUUUUGCUCCAAACUUCUGCCCCAUGAUUCUAAAUGUUUUCCUGGUUGAGUUAUGACAUCGAAGAAGUUUUGGUGUUUAUCUUAGAUGUCUCUCGGAAUUGGUGACUCGCACGGUAUUUUGUGUAUAUUAGAUCAGAUAACUUCUUGAAGCAUUGUCAAAUGUUUCACUAGGUCUAAAUAACAGAUGGUUUGUAUAAACAUUUUGUCAGUUAUAAUUUAAAAUUGCAAAUUCUUAUUCCUAGUUGCUUAAAAGUCGUUAAGAUUUGUUGUAUACCAUCACAUACGGUCAAUGUAUCGUCUGUAUGUAUUAUCAUGACUCUUUUUUUAAUCAUUAUAUCAUGCAAGAUAACUAGUUAUAUUUGGUACUUAAUUGCCGACAGAUGUAGUGAGAAAACUUUGGAAUCUGAAUUCAUUAAGUGAAAUUGUUGCAUUCUAAUGUUCAUUGUGUGUUCGAUGGCCCACUGUAUCUGUCA